rnacentral:rRNA from 1 species
CAGAAACCCUUUGUGAACUUAUACCCAUACUGUUGCCUCGGCGCAGGCCGGCCUUUUUCGAUAAAGGCCCCCUGGAGACAGGGAGCAGCCCGCCGGCGGCCAACCAAACUCUGUUUCUAUAGUGAAUCUCUGAGUAAAAAAACAUAAAUGAAUCAAAACUUUCAACAACGGAUCUCUUGGUUCUGGCAUCGAUGAAGAACGCAGCGAAAUGCGAUAAGUAAUGUGAAUUGCAGAAUUCAGUGAAUCAUCGAAUCUUUGAACGCACAUUGCGCCCUCUGGUAUUCCGGAGGGCAUGCCUGUUCGAGCGUCAUUUCAACCCUCAAGCCUGGCUUGGUGAUGGGGCACUGCCUGUGAAAGGGCAGGCCCUGAAAUCUAGUGGCGAGCUCGCCAGGACCCCGAGCGUAGUAGUUACAUCUCGCUCUGGGAGGCCCUGGCGGUGCCCUGCCGUUAAACCCCCAACUUCUGAAAAUU